rnacentral:lncRNA from 1 species
GGCCUUGCUCAGUGGGUUAAGGAUCCGGCGUUGCCGAGAGCUGUGGUGUAGGUGGCAGAUGCGUCUCAGAUCCCGCGUUGCUGUGGCUCUGUCACAGGCCAGCGGCUACAGCUCUGAUUAGACCCCUGGCCUAGGAACUUCCAUAUGCUGCAGGAAGCAGCCCCAGAAAAGGCAAAAAGACCAAAAAAAAAAAAAGAAAAGCAUGCAAAAUGUUUUAAAUUUUUGAUGUGGUCAGGUAUACAGAGGUAAUAACACUCCAUAUUCUUUGAGUUUUGAAUAUGCUCUUUUAAACAUAUAUAUUAUUUAAAAGAUAUAUAUUCCCCUCCCCUACCCAAGAAAACACAUCUGACAAGUGUUCGCAAGACAGAAAUUCUUUCUUUAUGGAAGUGGGUCUGGAAGCCUCCAAAAAAGAGCAGAGAUUUAGGGUAAAAGAGAAGAGGAAAAAAAUGUCUCAAUGGUAGCCAAUAAAAAUAGAAGAGGUAAAUAAAUUCAGCAUUCUGGCAUCUGUGGACCCAGAAAAACAAGACUGCAGAUUAAAUUAAUUAGGAAAACCACCCACAACAAACCAAUAGCACCAGGAGAGGGAGACGGAAGGGGAACGAGAGGCAGAGCAUGGUCAAAACAGAGGUGUCAGAGAGCUUGGGCACAGGAGUGCAUCGCAGGGCACGGUGGUCUCCGUCUCAUUCAGAACGUUUGCCUUGGCUGAGGUUCUAAACCACAGAAACAUCUGUACAGAAGAAGGCAACUGAUUUCAGUGAAAUCAUUCUGGAAACUUUUCACAUGUCGGGAGUCGAUUCAUGAAAGGACAAUGUAGGUCAUGUUACACGCAGAUGCGGUGGUCAAGUCACAGCAGCGCCAGUUUCUCUCUCUCCCAGUUGGUGUGAAAGUGAGGGGGUGGGGGUGGUUCCGAGAUGACGAGAGGAGGAGAGAAACAAUUUAAGGAGUGCAGCCAAUUAUAUAGGUUGGUUUUAAUUUUGAAACUAGUGCUUAAAUACCAAUGGUAUUGCCUUCAGCUCUUUGGAAACUACAGUGUAAUUAGGUUCACUCAACUUAACUUAAAACAUGUCCAGUCAUUAAAAUUUUUCUUGAUCCUGCCAAGUUAUUACACACACACACACACACACACACACACACAGAGAGAGAGAGAGAGAGAGAGAGAGAGAGAGAGAGAGAUCUCUAAGCCAAAAGUACAUCAAGUCCCCAAGAAAUAGCAAAAAAAAAAAAAAAACAUGUCAUUGCUUUUCAGAAACCAUGCUCGUGUUUCAUGACCUUCCUUAAAGAUAAUGUUCUCACGAUUAAUUAAUUUAUGAACAGUACCCCCCCAACGUGCACAACAGGUUCUAUGCAAAUUCUUGAGCUUUUAAAUUAUACUGUUAAUGAAAGCAAAUAAAGGCAGUUAAAAGGCAAUUUGCUCAAUUGGUGUUAAUAUUUAAGCACAGCAUGUGUAAAAACAAGAUCACAGAAUUCAGUUUUUACCAAGAAAACUUUAACCCAACUUCAUUUCCAAAAGAUCAGACGGGCGUUACUGAGAAGCUGUUUUCCCCUUACCCUUCAGCAUCAUCAGGUAAUGAGGCUUUUUAUUAAGUAAAUAUUUCACAUUAACCUCAUCAGUUUCUAUCACUUAGAAAUUCCAAUCUAUGAAAUCAAAUCAGCUUAAUCAUGUUUAGAUUAGAUCCUGCAUCCUGAAGGCAAACUAAAUUGUUUACGUCUUCCCUCUCCUCGGCACACUCAGGCACCAAGAUUCCAAGAUGUCAGAAUGGGGAGGUUCCAGCUGUCUCCCAGACCCUGAGGUCUCCUCUGCUGCCUGACUCUUAGUCCUAGAAUCUGAACCAGAGAAACUAACCCACCAGUCUCAGCAUCUCUGCCAGCUCUUUUAAAUCCACCUUGGGCAAAAGCCCUUAAAAGUGUAGGAGCCGGGCAAGAGCAGUUGCCGUGACGUUGCUUGGAGUUUGCCUCGACGUCCUCAUAAAAGCGAAAACUACCCAAGUCAGACGUAUAAUGUGUAACGUCCUUUAGUGACCCCAGAUUAUGCUUGGGGGGUGGGGGGUGUCUGUACACAGGGUGCUGCAGAAGACUGCUCUAGGGCCCAUCUCCCACGUUAAGGUCUGGAUGAAGCACCAGGGUCUCCCAGAAAGCCUGAGCCCCUCAAAGAGAGAGGUAAGGGGGGUGGGGGCAGAAAAGAAAAGAAAAGGCCAUGGUCCCCACCCUCAAGGAGCUCCCUAGUUACUGAAGUGAGGCACAGAAAUUGAUGCAGUGAUACCACUGCCCUCAGCAGGCGAGCAGGGGCAAAGGGGAGUCCUGUCUGAGCCCUUUCCUCAGCAUCAGCCCCUUCUAGGUUCCCUUAACCCAUAGGAAAACCCCGACUGGAGAACCAGCGAAUGUUCCCCCAUCCCCAGCCCUGCCGCCAUUCCCAGCAAAGCUCUCUCUGCCUCCCUUUCCCCAAGGGCUGCUUCUCCUUGGAAGGUGGGUCCCCUCUGGGGGUGCUGGAGGACCAGGGAAGGGGAGGAGGAUCCAGUGGCAGGGGCUCGUGGUCCUUGCCCCCAGGGAAGCCUGCUCACUGUCACCCAGGGGGCAAAGACAGGCAGUGGCAUGUGAAGACCUGCUCCUGCACAAUAAGGUCUUGUGUGUGGGCCCGGCCACCUCACUUCACGUGGUGUUUGCACGUCCCCAGCCCUUUGCUCCUGCCUGGACUAUUCCUGCCAUGAUAAAGAUGCCAAUUAAGAUAAACUUGGCACUGACAAAAGGGGGGGGGGACAGAAAAAAAAAAGAAAAAGAAAAAGGUGGCUCUGCUUUGGCAAUACCCGAACCUGGGCCCACUUUCCGGGUUCCGCCUCACUGCCAGCUUUGCCCCAAUGGUUAACCAACCCUUAGUAGCACAUCGCAGAUAUUCAGAAAGCUCAGUCCACCGCAGGAAGAUCGCCAUCCAUCAGACAACUUCCAAUUCACGGAGCAACGAGUUCCAAUUCACGGAACACCUAUAAUGUCCAGGACACCGUGCUGGGCUGUGGGGAGGGAGGUGUGGAGGAGAGAAGGCUAUAGAACUGAAUAGCACCCAGAGCCUACCACGAAAACCUAGGGUGCCUUGGUGAAGAAAUGACCAGAAAUGAUAGUAUGAUCAAGUUUUAUCCACACUUCUUUUGGAUGGGAGUUCAGAAGGAGGCAUCUUAUUUCCAAUGGGAAGCCAGGGGGACAAUACACCCAGAAAGGCUAGAGAAGGAGAUGGGGUUUGUGCCCGGGCUGGAAAGCUUUGGACCCAUUUCGAUGAGCAGAGACGUUGUGACGCACGAAGGAAGGAACGAGAGUUUAAUGCAACAGCAUCAAACUGAGCUGUGACGGGCCGGAUGACGGGCUAGAGGUUAUAACAAAGACCUGACAAAGAUGAUCCCUACUCCCGAGGGGUGCUAAGUAAGGGAAGAGGUAGAAACGUAGCUGGAAUCUAAGAUCCUAGAUAGCGCUGAACCCCAAGAUAAGAAUUCUCUAGUUUAUUCUUGAAAAGCGGUAAUAGCCACUUCGUGUUUUUGAGCAGGGCAGCAACACAGCCAGAGCUCUGCUUCGGGAGGAUGUGGUGACAAGCCACCGUUGGGGGCACUGCAGGAAGGCUGGUUAGGAGACCGGGAUGACCAUCUGGUUAAGUGAGAGGGAGAAGAUGGGCCAGGGAGGCCAAGGGCAGGUUAGGCCACAGACAAAACCACAGUCCAGAGAAGAGGGGGGAGCCUCUGGCAGAACGUGAAGACACAGAGAAGAUUAGAGAGGGACAAGGCUGAACUCGGCCCGACAUACACCAAGUUCUGGUUUCUGGCAGGACCGGUGUACCCAGCAGGCAGUUAGAAAGGCAUGUGUGCAAUACAAGGAAGACAAACACACACACACACACACACACACACACACACACACACACACAAAAAAAAAACCUAGCAAUAGAGAUCUGGCAGUCAUCCACAGAGAGGACAGCAUGGAAACCAUGAGAUGGCCAAGAAGAGACUGGAGAGAGAAGAGGCACAGCAGGGAUGUCACCCCAGGAGCC